UGGUGAUGAUGAUGAGGGCAAUAAUGAUGCAAAUAAGAAGAAUUGGGUGAACUAGAGAUUUGAUGUGGUUGAUCACUCAUAUAUUUCAUACAUUUAUACCAUCCAUUUCUAAAGUCUUUGUGAUGUUUUUGUGUUAAAAUUGUGGCAUUUUACCUUACCUUGUGUUAAUGUGCAGUUAAUUUUGUUUUAGGAUCAAUUUCAAGCAAAAUGGAGAAAAGAAAUAAAAAAAAACCUGAACAGAAAAUAAAUGGGACGGAAAGGAAGACACUGAGCAGAAAACAAAUGGAGUGGAGAGACUAAAGGACACGGACUGAGUAAAAAACAAAAGAAAAGAAUAAUAAGAGAGGAAGUGGGAUAGACACGGAAACAUAAAGAAAGGCCAGUGCGCAAAGAGAGUGGAGGACAGACUGAGUGCACAGAGCGGAGUGCAGGACAAGGGGACAGACACAGACAAAGAAGAGUGGAGAGACCGAAGAAAAGGGAGACUAAGGGCGCGAAUAAAAAAAAACUGACAGAGGAAUAAAAAAGGAAGAGAGAGUGGAACCAAACGGCAGAGAGCAAGAGGCACGGCAGAGAGCAAGGAAGGAAAGAAAAAGAAGCUUCACUCUAUUUUUCUUGGUUUUAUCUUCUCAAACCCAUGUUUUACUUGUGGUUUAAUUUGAGAAUUAUGUGUAACUAAAUUUUAAGUAGUUAGGGGCUGUUUUGAAGCCCCGAAUAUGAUUGCAAGUUUGUUAUGACAUUUCAUUGAAUUGCUUUUAUGAAUGGAUGAAAAUUGGUUUACUACUUAUGUCAGUGAUAAAUUCUUUAUAUGUUUUUUAUGGAUGCAUACUUAGUAAGCAUAUUUAGAAUUCAAAUGCUAUGAAUAUAUGUAUGCCUGCCCUUGAUGAAUGAGGACCUACAUAUGUUCUAGAGUAGUACUUGUUAAUUGCGAUUAACAUGUGAACCAAUUUCUAAGAUAAGUAAGACAAUGCCAGUACUUACCAUGCCUUGUGAUGACUCAAACUCUUUUCGUUCUUAAUGAUUUUUACUUGUUAAAUCUAUGAACAUGCCAUUCUAGAUUGCAUGCUAGGGACUACGUUAAGUUGAAAACGCCAUUCUCUUAACAUACUACGUAAGAAAAAGUAAUAGGUUGUGUUCUAACAUUGAGCCAACUUGAGCAUCUUCAUCCGGAAAUAAAAGGAAUUUGAAUGAAACAUAACAUGUUUGCAUGAUUAUUUGGUGGUGGAUAACAAUUCCCCUAACUCGUUUUUCUCAAACUUGUGAUCUACUCAAAAUCUGUUUCUGUACUGUUUUUGUACGAUUUAAUUUAAAUAGCAAAUCAACUCCAAAAAUCCCAAAAAUUUGUGAGACUGUCGUACUGUGUGUCUAGUAUUUGCAUAUAAAAUUUCAUAGACUUUAGACCAGUGUAAGUCAGUCUAAUAAUUAUUUUUUUGGUGGCUGGUCAGUAGGGACAGCAACCAAUUUUUGUGACAUUUUAAGUAGUUAGAUAAAACAAUCUUCUGCGGGAAAGACCCUUAUUUUCAUAUGCUACAAUUGACAAAUCCUAGUGUUAAUAAGGAAAAUUAAUAGGAUAUUUGUGUGCUACUUUGUGGUGUGCUUUUAAACCUACCAGUGGUGGAUAGUUAGGAUUGAAUGAACCAUGAAAUCAACUAUUAUAAAUGAAUAAGAAAAACCGAACGAAGGAGUCAUAUAUAUUUACCUUGAAUUUGAGAUAUUUGAUGAAUUGAUUGUGAGUAAGAAUUUUAUGUCAUUCAAAAUUAGUAGUUAUGAAAAUAUUCAUAAAGAAAAUAAUGAAUUCAAAUAAUGAUGCAAUUAUAAUUUGAAAAUAAGUUUUAUUGCAAAACUUAUAUUGGGACUUACAAUUAAUUUACUGACGAUUCAGUCAGCAAAUAAGAAAUUGACUGGUGAAAAGGAUAUUGGUGCACAAGGGCAUCCUUGACAUUUAAGAAUUUAAAUUGUUUACAAUUUGGUUUUCUUUGAAUACAAUGUGAACCUAAAGAGAUUUGAUUGAGAAAAGAUGUAUACGUUAACUUGGUGUCCCCUUCAUAUGAGUCCUCUUCAUAUAGACUUGGAUAAUUGAUUGCUUUACUAUUGAAGUAUGGGAUGGAUGAUGACUUGUUUUUACUGUUGAUGAAUAGUGAAUUUGUUGGAAUAAUUGUUUUUUUACUGUGGAAUGUGCAGAUGACUAAAUGAUUCCAUGUUUUGUCGGAAUUAUCGAUGCGAAUAUUGUCUGAAUACUUCACAUGGUGACUUGAAAAGAUGACUGAAUUUUCACAUGGCAAUUGUCAUAGUGUUCACAUGAUGAUUUGACAUGAUGACUGAAUUUUCACAUGGUAAUUUAUUAUGUUCACAUGGCCUUAUGCAAAAGGGUCUUGCGAAUCUUGGUAGUCGACCCACUUGGCUGACUGUGUUUUUUGACUUAUCGAAUUGGCUGAUUGCUGUGAGAAUGCAUUUGAAGAUUCGGAGUCUGAAGGUUCUUCUUUAGUGUGGAGCAUCGUUGUUUUUGCAAGUAAUUGUUGUGCUAAAUCUUGGAGUUUAGUGACUAUUCUUCUUUGAGCCUGACGAUUUGUGAGACUUGACUAUUCAUUUGAGGGAUGAGGAUGGACAUAUGUCUGAUAAUGAUUGAGCUGGAAUAGCUCGCAUUACUGGCUGUGCUGGGAUGACUGGAGGAGGAGUAAUGGGGAAUUCAGAGAGAACCAGACUGAUGACCCUCUAAUGGUUGAAUUUAUCCUACCACUUGACUGAUUUGACUCUGUUGACUUCACCGGUUUCAACUUCAUAUCACUUCAAGAUCCAUGAGACUUUGUAUUUGGCCAUUAAUAAUGAGGGGAGUGUAAUUCUGUAAUUAAACCUGCUUCUGUCAAAUUUUUGUUGAAAACUGGUUGAGAGAACCUGCAUAAGCUCAUAUGGCAGUAUAUUGGCUAUUGGCCCAUGAAUUAACCAUCAUUUUGGGAACCAUGUUGAAAAAUUUAACUUGAAACUUUUGUCAAAUUGAUGAAUCAUGAAUGAUUAAAAUCAUUUGUCUGAUGGAGAAAGAUGUUAGUCCAAGCAUUGAUGUAAUCAAAAUAAUUAUAAUGGUC
rnacentral:lncRNA from 1 species